CCUACGGGAGGCAGCAGUGAGGAAUAUUGGUCAAUGGUCGGGAGACUGAACCAGCCAAGUCGCGUGAGGGAUGAAGGUACAGCGUAUCGUAAACCUCUUUUGUCAGGGAACAAAGGCGGGGACGUGUCCCCGGAUGAGUGUACCUGAAGAAAAAGCAUCGGCUAACUCCGUGCCAGCAGCCGCGGUAAUACGGAGGAUGCGAGCGUUAUCCGGAUUUAUUGGGUUUAAAGGGUGCGCAGGCGGUUGGUUAAGUCAGCGGUAAAAGCCCGGGGCUCAACCCCGCCCCGCCGUUGAAACUGGCAGUCUCGAGUUGGAGAGAGGUAUGCGGAAUGCGCGGUGUAGCGGUGAAAUGCAUAGAUAUCGCGCAGAACUCCGAUUGCGAAGGCAGCAUGCCGGCUCCACACUGACGCUGAGGCACGAAAGCGUGGGUAUCGAACAGGAUUAGAUACCCUGGUAGUC
rnacentral:rRNA from 1 species